CUCUCUCUUCUCCAUGUGACAUGAAGUUGGUCGGGGGUACGGGAGUAUGUACGUCAAGUCAUUGCCAAAUGGAUGUACUGCUUCAACCAACAGACCUAAGAAACCUUGAUCCGGCUUGAGUUCAAUUCUAUGAAACUGAGGACAUUAUCAAGGAUCAGUGGAUACAAUGGGACGACCCAAUGGAUUUUAAGUGAUGCCAUGGAGACAACCCCGUCCGCUGCCAUGGAUUUGGACUGGGCUGAGACGGAGGACGGAGGACUGGGCUCCUACCCGAGGGUCCUUCAUGUGGUGGAAUCUCUUAGGCCUUAAACAGGUGUGACGUUCUGACCUGUGGCCUGUGCUGGGUUCAGAUUGAUGGCAAUUUGAACAUGUUUAAUAAAUGAACCUAAACAAC